GAGCACGUAGGUGGGUUUGUAAGUCAGAUGUGAAAGCCUUCUGUUCAACGGAAGAAUUGCAUCUGAAACUACAAACCUUGAGUAUAGGAGGGGAGAAUGGAACUUCUGGUGGAGCGGUGAAAUGCGUAGAUAUCAGAAGGAACGCCGGCGGCGAAAGCGAUUCUCUGGCCUAUUACUGACACUCAGUGUGCGAAAGCUAGGAGAGCAAACGGGAUUAGAUACCCCGGUAGUCCUAGCCGUAAACGAUGGGCACUAAGUAGAGGGG
rnacentral:rRNA from 1 species